rnacentral:rRNA from 1 species
AGUGAACGCUGGCGGUAGGCCUAACACAUGCAAGUCGAACGGCAGCACAGUAAGAGCUUGCUCUUACGGGUGGCGAGUGGCGGACGGGUGAGGAAUACAUCGGAAUCUACUUUUUCGUGGGGGAUAACGUAGGGAAACUUACGCUAAUACCGCAUACGACCUACGGGUGAAAGCAGGGGAUCUUCGGACCUUGCGCGAUUGAAUGAGCCGAUGUCGGAUUAGCUAGUUGGCGGGGUAAAGGCCCACCAAGGCGACGAUCCGUAGCUGGUCUGAGAGGAUGAUCAGCCACACUGGAACUGAGACACGGUCCAGACUCCUACGGGAGGCAGCAGUGGGGAAUAUUGGACAGUGGGCGCAAGCCUGAUCCAGCCAUACCGCGUGGGUGAAGAAGGCCUUCGGGUUGUAAAGCCCUUUUGUUGGGAAAGAAAAGCAGCAGGUUAAUACCCCGCUGUUCUGACGGUACCCAAAGAAUAAACACCGGCUAACUUCGU